GCCUACGGGGGGCAGCAGUAGGGAAUUUUCGUCAAUGGGCGCAAGCCUGAACGAGCAAUGCCGCGUGAACGAGGAAGGUCUUCGGAUCGUAAAGUUCUGUUGAAGGGGAAAAAGAGCGGAGAGAGGAAAUGGUCUCCGAUUGAUAUUACCCUUCGAGGAAGUCACGGCUAACUACGUGCCAGCAGCCGCGGUAAUACGUAGGUGGCGAGCGUUAUCCGGAAUGAUUGGGCGUCAAGGGUGCGUAGGCGGCCUGCUAAGUCUGGAGUGAAAGGUACCGGCUCAACCGGUACAGGCUCUGGAAACUG
rnacentral:rRNA from 1 species